rnacentral:rRNA from 1 species
AGCUCCAAUAGCGUAUAUUAAAGUUGUUGCAGUUAAAAAGCUCGUAGUUGGAUUUCUGGUGUCUUUUCGCGUUCCUUCUUUGCCAGCAAACUGCUGGUGUUGGUCGCGAUGGAUGCCUUCUUUCUCCACAAAUUUGGCGCUGAAGCAUUAGUUUGCUUCGGUGUCAAAUGGGGAUCAUUUACUGUGAAAAAAUUAGAGUGUUCAAAGCAAGUAUUAUUUCUUGAAUACAUUAGCAUGGAAUAAUAAGAUAGGACUUGGGUACUAUUUUGUUGGUUUGCAUACCCAGGUAAUGAUUAAUAGGAACAUAUUGGGGAUAUCUGUAUUUUUUAGUCAGAGGUGAAAUUCUUGGAUUUAAGAAAGACAAACUACAGCGAAAGCAUUUAUCAAGGAUGUUUUCAUU